AACCUGAGAGAUGGCCUGGAGGCAGGGUGGCAUGUUGUUUUUAAAGUGAUACAAGAGACACAGUGGAGACCGUCCAAUGAGUGGCAUGGCUGCCAGGAUGCCAACUGGGACACUAAAGCCCUGGCAGUGGGGGCUGCCCAGCAGGGCUGGCCACUAGAAAUAAGGUCUGUGAGGGUUGAGGGCCGAGAGGCUGGAGGGGCUCAUGGGUGACCAGUGCUGCUGUUUGCCACUUGUUCUAAACCAGCAGACCAUGGCUAAGAACACUGCCAUACAGGAAGCCGCCCUUCCUCUAGGGCAGAAUCACACAUGAUGGUGGGGGAGGCGUGUCAUUAGACAUCGUCCAAACCCACAGAAUGGGCACCACCGAGAGGGAACCCUCAUGUAAAUCAUGGGCUUUGGGUGAUGGUGAUGUGUCAAUGUAGGUUUACCGAUUGUGACAAAUGCAGUCUCUGAUGCCGUGUAGAUAGUAGGGGAGGCUGUGCAUUUGUGGGAGCAGGACAUAUAUGGGAAAUCUCUGUACUUCCUGCUCAAUUUCUCUGUGAACCUAAAAGUGCUCUAAAAAAGUCUAUUAAAGAGAAAAAGAAUUAUAUAUAAGAAUUACGUAUAAACUAUAGUGUGUGUGUAUAUAUAUACACAUAUAUAUACGUGUGUGUGUGUGUGUGUGUAUAUAUAUAUAUUUAUAUUUUGUCAUUGGAUUGUAUUUAUAGUUUGUCAUUGGAUCAGCUGUAAAAGAGGAAAGAAAACCAACAUUGAGGCCCAGGGCAAUAGCUUUUAAAAAAUUACAAUAGAGCUGAGUACAUGCAGUCCCAGCUACUGGGGAGGCUGAGGUGGGAGGAUUCCUUGAGCUCAGGAGCUUCCAGGCUGCAGUGAGCUAUGAUCACACCACUGCACUGCAGCCUGGAUGACAAAACGAGAUCCCGUCUCUAAAAUAUAUAAAAAUAAUCACAAUGACAACAGAAAUCACUUAGAGCUGGACUAUCCAACCUGGGAGCUUUGAGCCACAUGUGGUUAGUGAGGCUUGAAAUAUGCCUAGUUUGAAGGAGGAACUGAAUUUUUAAUUUUAAUUAAUGUGCAUGUAAAUUUAAAAGCUGAUAUAUGUGAUAUUGUUAGGGAGAAAUUUUAAUAGGUUUGGAACAAUUUGGAUAUGUGAAUCUACCCUUCCAAAUUAAUUUCAUGAACUCUAAAUACAGAUCAAGUAUUUCCAAAGAAUAAUUAGCAUCCAAAUUGAGAUAUGCUAUGAAUGGAAAAUAUACACCAGAGUUUGGAGACUUAAUACCAAAAAAAUGUAAAAUAUCUCAUUAACAAUUUUUAUAUUUACAUAUUGAAAUAUUUGGUUAUACUGAGUUAGUAAAAUAUAUUAUUAAAGUUCACUUCACCUGUAUCUUUGUACUUUUUAAAAAUUUGGCUUCCAAAAAAAGUAAAAGACGUAAGUGUCUUACCAUCAUACACUGCUGGUAGGAAUGUAAAAUGGCAUAGCUGCUUUGAAAACCAGUGUGAUGAUUCCUCAAAAGGUUACACAUCGAGUUACCCAGCAAUUCCACUCUUAGGUACUUACCCAAGAUAAUUUGAAAACAUAUGCCCACAAAAUGAUCUCGCACAUAAAUGUUCAUAGCAGCAUUACUCGUAAUGGCCACACAGUGGAAACCACCCAAAUGUCCAUUAACUGAUACAUGACUAAAACCAAACCUGGUGUGCCCAUAAAAUGGAAUAUUAUCUGGCCAUAAAAAGGAGUAUUGAUAGAUUCUCCCACAUGGGUGACCCUUGGAAACAUUACACUAAAUGAAAGAAGCCAGACACACAAAAGCCAUCUACUGUAUGAUUACGUUUAUACAAAAUGUCCAGAACAGGCAAAUCUAUUCAAGACAGAAAGUAUAGUAGGAUUUGCCAGGGGCUGGGGGAAGAAGGGGAGAGGAAGUGACUGUUAAUAAGUAUGGGUUUCUUUCAGGUAUAAUGAAAGUGUUCUGAAAUUAAAUAGUGGUAAUGGUUGGUUGCACAAUUUGUGAUUGUACUUACAAAAAAUUACAUACUUGGCUUGCAUUAAAUUUCUAUUGGACAGCACUAAUUUUAAUGAGAUAACUAUUUUCUUUCCCAACUGUGAUUAGUGAUGGUAUAUAAUCUAGCCAAAGCUAAUCAACGUGGGGUGAUUUUUGCCCCCAUCCCCACCCCAUGGGACCUGUGGCAGUGUCUGGAGACAUUUUUGAUAGCCACAACUGGGGUUGGGGUGAGGGGAAGAGAUCGCUACUGGCCGGGGAUGCUGCUAAACAUCCUACAACCCACAGGCAGCUGCCCGGAACAAAGAAUUAUCUGGCCCACAAUAUUGUAGUGUGGAGGUUGAGAAACCCUGCACUAAAGGCUGCUCAGAGGAUCCCUGCCCCAGCUACAACAUCCUUUGCCCCAGCUACAACAUCCUUUGCUCCAUCUCUGCUGCUUUGACUUCCCAGGGGUCUGAUUCAGGGUGUGGCCUUCUCAGAAGACUUUCUCCUGGAGUCCACCCCAUCACAGUCCUCAGGCCAGGAACUCCUAGUGAUUCUGUGGACUUGGAAACUUCCUAAGAAGAAUCCUGAAAGGGCCCGGGGAUUCUAUAGUUGAUUGGCUAUGGAGUCUCUGACUCAGGCCUGACCUUCUGAGGCUUCUUGAGUCCCCAAGUGUGAUACUCUCCACAAAGCUGGCUUCAUGCCAGGUAGAUUGCCAUUUUUCUUGUUGUUUUCUCUUCCACGUCAGAUUUUCUAAGCCAAAGACAACUGGAAUUUGCACAGUCUGCGUGAGGAAUGGGCUGCUUCUCUGACACCUGAAGUAAAAACCCAACCAGGGAUAUCCAGACUUGCCUUCAAGCAUGUUAUUUUGAAAUUACCUACUCUGUCUGUUUCUGAUAACUGCUGUAACAAAUGACCACAAAUUUAGUGGCUCAGAACAACAUAGAUUUAUUACUUUACAGUUCGGGAGGUCAGAAGUCCAACAUGAAUCUCACUGGGCUACAAUUAAGGUGUCAGGAGGGCCAUGUCCUUCUGGAGGCUACAGAGGAGUGACGUGGUUUGGCUGUGUCCCCACCCAAAUCUCAUCUUGAAUUGUAACUCCCACAAUUCCCACAUGUCAUGGGAGGGACCCAGUGGGAGGUGACUGAAUUAUGGGGGCAGUUCUUUCCCGCACCGUUCUCAUGAUAGUGAAUGAGUCUCACAAGAUCUGAUGGUUUUGAAAACAGGAGUUUCCCUGCAGAAGCACUCCCUUUGCCUGCUGCCAUCCAUGUAAGACAUAACUUGCUCCUCCUUGCCUUCUCCCAUGAUUGUGAGGCCUGCUCAGCCAUGUGGAACUAUGUAUCCAUUAAACCUCUUUUCUUCCCAUUCUUGGGUAUGUCUUUAUCAGCAGCAUGAAAACUAAUACAGGGAGAGAAUCCCCUCUGUCCAGCUUCUGCAGUUGGCCUGCAUCCCUUGGCACAUGGUCCUUUCUCGACCUUCAAAGCCAGCACAGUAGCAUCUUCAAAUCCUUCUCUGACCGAUGCUCCUGUCUCCCUCUUCCACUUAUAAGGACCCUUGAGACCAAGUGGGACCACCUGGGUCAAAGAUAAUUUCCCCAUGUCAGGGUUGAUAACCUCAAUCACAUCUGCAAAGUCCCUUUUGCCAUAAUUCACUUCAGUAACAUAUUCACAGGUUCUGAGAAUCAGGAUGUGGAUGUCUUUGGAGGGAAUUAUUCUGCAUACCAUACUGUUACGUGGGCAUGGGCAGUCUACUUCAGGGGGGCAGGGUCACUUAGGCACACUCUGCUGCCUUUGUUCCAUAGGGAAAAGAAAUAGGGUAUUUUUGUUUUUCCAGAGUUGGAGAAUUUGCCCAAUCUGAGUUCUCAGGUAGUUAGAUGCUGACUUUCCAGAUCUAAUUCUCAGCAGGCCUAUGCCCCAGAAUGGCCAGUGAGAGAUUUACUUUUCCAUUUUUAUAUCUUUGAAUAGCUUCAAGUGAAUUACUGUGAUUGAGAUUUUUUUUAUUAUUUGGGAUUACAAUGCUUCUGAAGUUGUCACACUUGCUGAGUUUAAAUCCCCUCUAACAGGUAAACCUAUCAGAUUACAUGACAGUGUUCAACUUAACAUUUAUUGAGAUCUGUCAGAUACCGUAUGUGCCCAAGAAAGCUCAGCAGUGACCCACAAGGAAUAUAAAAUCUAGCAGGGGAGAUAAAGAAGUAUACUGCCAAUCUAACCCCAGUGUGAUGUGCAGCAAAGGCUCUAAAGUCAGUAAAAUAGCUUUAGGACUCUACUGGGGAGGGUGUGAGGAAGGGCUGGAUGGUUAUGCGAGGAUGCUGAAAUAUUGAAAGGGUGAUGAAAUAAGCCACAUUGGAACACUGGGCCUUCAGGAAUGGGCCAGAAUCCUUUAAGGUCAAAUCUAAAAAGGGGUUGUCCUCAGUGUCCUGGAGGACAGGAAAACAAACCUUAAUGGUAGGCAUUAGGAAAUUGUCUUAAAGAUCCCGCCCCCAAAAGCAGACCCUGAGACAAGAAAGUGGAUGCAGUUAGUUUAUUCAGGAGAUGAUCCCAGAAAACAUGGGGAGAAAGGGGGAAUAUAAGAUGGAAGCAAAAACCACCAGGAAAUGGGAAUGAAUGAAUGACUGUGGGCUGCUGUGGACAACAGGGGCCUGAUCACUGGGGAUCCUCUAAAGAAUCGUGUGAUGAAUGUCUUAGACUCACUCCACAGGAAGCUACGGAGUCUGGGACACUGUCUACCAACUCCCACCCCCAUUGGUGGAGGACUUUCCUGACUUCCAGAUCCACUUUCUGGUGUGGCCAAGCAACCUCCCAGCUCAUGAAGUUCUCAGGCUGUGGGAGCUGUCAGGUGGUGGAAACUUCACCUGCAGCUGCAGGGAACCUAGGUGGACUGAGUAGCUAUGGGGCAGGGCAUUAUCAGCACCUGCCUUGGGAGUAAUUGAGUACUUUCAACAAUCUGGAUGCUGGGGCCAAUCCAUGGGGUUCUUUCCCCUGAGUUAUUCUGACUACACUCAGUCAGCAUUCAGUGAUCAUCCUCACCUUCACCCGCUUCAAUUUGUGCUGUGUUGAUCUGAUUUUCUUAUGGAGCUUGAGUUCCAGUUUUGUCACUUACAGAUAGAGGUGCCCUGGGCAUGUUAAUUAACCUCUUUGAGCGUUAUGGGCCAGCUCACAGUUUUGUUACAUGGACUACCAGAAAUGCCAAAUGUUGGACAUUAAUAUAGUACUUGGAACACACAAAUAUUCAAUAAACAGUUAUGAUUUUGUGGAUGAUGGCAACACUUCUGUUUCUCUCUACCAUCAGUGCAGACUUUUGACCUAUAGAAGUUGAGAUGAUGAUCUAAAAAUUUACCUCCAAGAUGGUUUCAUUUUCAGUCUUUUUAACUAUAGAACUGACUGAUGUAAUUUGUGACAUACUGCUUAUUUUUGGUAAGUAACAAUUCCAUUUCAGAAAAAUGCCUUACUGAAGUGUCAGUUGGUGUCGUGCCAUAAGCACAAUAUCAGCAUCAUUCAAAAGAACCUAGAGCCUCCCAGUGAAUAGGCUAACCUCUGGUAUAAAUUAGGUACACAUGGAAGCUAUUUUUGACUACAGGGAUGCCCUUUAGUGGUUCACUACAUUUAUGUACCAAAUGGCUCCCAAAUUACCUGGAGCUGUGGAUGUAAUUUCUGAGGGUGAAUUUAUGUCUCAGCUCAGGCUGCUAUCACAAAGGGCCGUAUAUUGGGUGGCUUAAAUAAGAGACAUUUAUUUCUUCUAGUUAUGGAAGCUGGGAAGUCCAAGACAAGGUGCUGCUGAUUGAGUUCUUGGUGAGGGUUCUCUUCCUGACUUGCAGGUGGCUGCCUUCUCGUUGUGUCCUCAGAUGGCAGAAAGAAGAGAGGAAGCAAGCUCUCUGGUGUCUCUCCUUACAAGGGUUCUAAUCUGGUCAUGGGGCCCCAGCCUCAUGACCUCAUCUAAACCCGAUUACUUCCCACAGACUCCACCUGCUAAUAGUAUCACAUUGGAGGUUAGGACUUGGACAUAUAAAUUUUUAGGGGUUACAAACAUUAGCCCAUAGCACCUUAGGAUUACAGAGUGAUGCUCCCCCUGGGGGAAUUUGGCAGCUCAUAUAAUACAGUCUUACCAUAUAUGGUCCUAGAAAUAUAAGAAAGGAAAUGAUAUCCAUAUCUAUUGGCUCAAUUUUUUUUACAACACUCAUUUUUAGAGCCCUUGGACUUUUGAGGGGCUCCUAUCUAGCAUCUAACUUUCAAUAUCUGCUCAUGAUCACACUAUUCCCUCAGUGAUCAAAGAAAAACAUUCUCUUGCUGGCUUUUCGUCUCUUAAAGGAUUUUUAAAAGCUGUAGUAUUAUAAUAUGCAUCCUAUUUUUCCAGUAAAACAGAGUGGAGCUCAUGUUGUGAAACAGCUAGAAAGGGGGAACAGAGACAUUUUGUUUUUAAAACCAUGAAAUGUAUUGUCAGUUACCUUAGGUAAGAGUGAAAGAAGUGACUUUGAGACUGACUCAUUUAGGCUAGAAUUGGUGUGAGGUAUAAGGGCAUUAAGCUGAGAAAAUGACCAGGACUGUAGCUUUGGUUCUGCCAAUAAACAAAUGGUGUGACCACAGGCAAAGAGAUUACUCUUUCUCUCAUGAACCUGUAAGUUUCUCAAGGGAAGAAACAACAUAUAUAUUGCUUUGUAAAUUGUUUCCAAGCAUUUAAAAAAUAUCUUUAAAUAUUUUCAAGGCAUGAUUUUUAAUGCCUGCAUAGUCCAAAGAAUAUUGUACCAUAAUAUAUUUUACCAUUCCUCCAUUGUUAGAUUGUUCUCAGUGUUUCAUUAUUGUGAACCAUGCUACAAUGAAAAGACUCUUGUCCCGAUGGCUCUAUUUAUACUUCUGAUAAUUUUAUUAGGCUAAUUACAGGGCCAAAAUUUACAUGUUAAAGGAUUAGUAAAUAUCACCAAUUUGACAUCCAGAAGGGUUGUACUAAUUUGCACUCUUGCCAGCAGUGUAAGAGAAAAAUCUGUUUCCAUACAGUCUUAUUAGCAUGAAGUAUCAUCACAUUAAGAACAAUCUCUGAAAAUUGAGAAAGGAAGGAAAGGAGGAAGGCAGAAAGGAAUGGAGUUGAUAAGUUUAUGAUGAAUUUCAUGAAUUGCGUAUUUGAUGUCUUUGUUCUUUUUUUUUUUUUUUUGAGAUGGAGUUUCGCUCUUGUCGCCCAGGCUGGAGUGCAGUGGUGCGAUCUCAGCUCGCUGCAGCCUCUGCCUCCCUGGUUCAAGCGAUUCUCCUGCCUCAGCCUCCCACAUAGCUGGGAUUACAGACAUGCGCUACCACACCCAGCUAAUUUUGUAUUUUUAGUAGAGAUGGGGUUUCUCCAUGUUGGUCAGGCUGGUCUCCAACUCCCGACCUCAGGUGAUUCGCCCACCUCGGCCUCUCAAAGUGCUGGGAUUACAGGCAUGACCCACCACACCUGGCCCUGUUCAUUUUUUAUUAAGCUAUUCAUCUUUUCUUACAUCACUUUCUUUGUACAUCACAAGUGCUUUUCUAAGUUUUUAUUUGUUUUUAAUAUCAGUUUAUGGUGGGGGUUUUUGUGCAAAAUUCUUACAUCAUCAGGUUUUUUUUUUUUCCUUUUUGCUUAGACAGACUUUCCUUACCAUGAAAGCCACAGUCUCUUCCACUUUGUUUGAUAUUUAUUUUGGCAGCUGAUGUAAAAUUAGGGAUUCACAGGACCUCACUGCCUCGGAAAUUAACAGAUCUUCAUGUUUGACCCCUUCAGUUUACACUGAGGAAAGAGGCCCAAAGAGAGGAAAGGAAAUUACCCAAGGAUAUACAGUUGGUUAAUGGCAGAACCAGAACUAAAAUCUAGCUCCCAGUUUAUGUCUUCCUUUUUUAAAAAAAAUUUUUUUAAAAGUUUUCAAUAUUAUCAGUAAAAAUAAUUUCCUUAAACAUUUAAAAACAUUAAUCACCCCUCCAAAUGUUAGGUUCCUUGCUUCCCUCUCCAGAGUUAAUCCUAUCAUUUGAAUGUAUUCUUCCAGAUCUAAAAAAUAAUUUUAUGUGUUUAUAUAUGUAUAUACAAAUAACAUAUACUACUAUGGAAUGGUUGGGGGGCAUAAAUUGUAUCGUAUUGUAUGUAUUAUUCUUCAGUGUACCUUUCUAAUUCUAUGUUGUUUUGAAGCAUCCAUCAUUUGAGCAGGCCACAUUUUAUUUAGCCAGUUACCCAUGAACAUUUCCUUAGAAACGUUUCCUUAGAAAUAAUUCUACAACACACAUGAUGUCACAUGCUUCCUUGGGCCUUCAUGCAAGCUUCUCUCAAGAGUCGAUAUUGAGAAGUGAAACUGCUGCAUCAUGGCUAAUGCCCUUUUCAGUUUUAAGAGAUUUUAAGAGAUUUUUAAAGAGAUUUUGCCAAAUUAAUCUUACUGGCAAUGUACCCAUUUCCUUAUAAUAUCAGCUUGGUACUGUACUUUUAAUUUUUUUAUCUAUCUGAUGAAAGAUGUUAUAUCUUUAAAAUUUGUAUUUUCCUAAUUACUCAUAAGGUUGAGCAACUUCUUGCAUAUUUAUUGACCAUUUAUCUCUUCCAUAAACUUUGUAUAUAUUUACCUUUUAAAAAUAAUUCAAUUGUUACGGAUGUUUUAUCUAUUUGAUUUUUAUAUACCCUGGAAAUUAAUCUUUGUCUAUUACAAUGUCCUACAUAAAAAGUGUAUCACUUUAAUUUUCUUAGUGGUAUUUUUGUUCUAUAGAAAAAUUUUAAUUUGAUGUAAUCAAAAUUAUUGAUAUUUCUCUUUUUUGUUCCUUCCUUCCUUCCUUCCUUCCUUCCUUCCUUCCUUCCUUUCUUUCUUUCUUUCUUCCUUUCUUCCUUUCUUUCUCUUUUUUGAGAUGGAGUCUUGCUCUGUCACCCAGGCUGGAGUGCAGUGGUGCAACCUCUGCCUCCCGGAUUCAAGCAAUUCUUCUGCCUCAGCCUCCCGAGUAGCUGGGACUACAGGCGUGCACCACCACGCCCCGGCUAAUUUUUGUAUUUUUAGUAGAGAUGGGAUUUCACCAUAUUGGCCAGGCUGGUCUAGGACUCCUGACCUCAUGAUCCACCUGCCUCGGGCUCCCAAAGUGCUGGGAUUAUAGGCGUGAGCCACUGCACCAGGCCUAUUAUUUUCCCAAGAAGAUCUUAUAUCUCUCAAGAUCAUGAAAAUCAUUUUGAAAAAUUUUUUCAGUACUUUAUAGUUUUUUAAAAAUUUUAACUCAGAGAUCAAAUAACAUCAGUUUAUUGGGGGUCCAUUGUAAGGUACUGAUAUCUUUUCCAUAUGGUGGCUAAUUGUGUCAGCAUUGAAGCACUUGUCUCUUCCCUACAAGUUGAAAGACUAUUUCUAUCCAUAAACCAAAUUCCAGUAUUGGAUUCUGUACUCUUUCCUCAGUUUGGUUUAUCUACUUAUGUACGGCAACUCCCACACUAUCUCAUGACCACAGCUUUAUCAUUUGUCUUGAUAUAUGAUUGGGUUAGUUCAAUGCUUUUUCCAUCUCCUUUCAGAGAUGCAAAUUCAUCUUCUAUCAUAGCCAAAGAAGACCAACAAAGACCAACAGAGGCCAUGUCUCGCAUUCAGCUCCAACAGCAGGCAGUAGAUUUGUUACAGAGACUAAAACCCACCUUAUUGCCAAGUGACCCUCCUCUCACCAGCCUCCCCUGCUGCCACCCAAAUUCCUGCCACUGAACUACUCCUCAAAAUAAAACACAGCUGUAAAAUGCACACCUGUUUUGGAUUAGUUACAAUAAAUCAGGAUCUGUACUUAUUUCAGUUCCCCAGACAGGUGAAGAACAAGCUGCGUUUAUAGCAAGCCAACUAGAAAGCAGAAGAAAAUUCCAGUCACGAGUUUUUGUUUUUCCUCUUAGGGCAAAGGAGGUUACACUUGAGGAGCCUAAAUUUCUUGUUGUUUCCAAACUCCUGUGAGUCUUUACAGAAAUGCCUCUAAAAGUUGUAGUAUUCUCUCUCUAGAUCCAUCUAACUGAGCCCAUGGUUUCCAAACUUUAAUGCCCAAGAGAAUCCUCAGACCGCAUAUUAAAAAUGCAGGUUCAGGCCUGCAUUUAUUUCUCAGACAGCAUAUUAAAAAUGCAGGUUCAGGCCUGCAUUUAUUUCUCAGACAGCAUAUUAAAAAUGCAGGUUCAGGCCUGCAUAUUUUUUCACGGUGGCUCAUGUCUAUAAUCCCAGCACUUUGGGAGGCCGAAGCAGGCAGAUCACCUGAGGUCAGGAGUUCGAGACCAGUGUGGCCAACAUGACGAAACCCUGUCUCUACUUAAAAAAAAAAAAGGCCGGGCGUGAUGGCAGGCCCCUGAGGUCCCAACUACUCGGAAGGCUGAGACAAGAGAAUCGCUUGAACCUGGGAGGCGGAGGUUGCAGUGAGCCGAGAUUGCGCCACUGCAGUCCAGCCUGGGUGACAGAGCAAGACUCUGCCUCAAAAUUAAUAAAAAUGCAGGUUCAGCAAGUCUGUGGUAAAACUUAGGGACCUAUGUUGUUUUUUUAAACACGCACCUCAUCAGGUGAUUCCAAUGCAAAUAGUCCAGGCCCUCACUUUAAGACACUGCCCUGGGGACUCCAAGCAGAGUAGAACCACCUGAACACGAGACAUCCAAAUCCUUAGUGCAGGCUGUUUGCCAGGACAUGUUUCUGUAAUGAGUUAGCUCUGUGAGAUCGGUCUACAAGAGAAUGAUGUCAGUAUAACCAACACGUGGCAUUGGUUCAUACGCAGUUUUUCUUUGGCAAAGGGAACCAGAAUAGCUGGAAUAAAUUACAGAAAAUUGAGCAGGAAAACAAGCCUUUGACUCAGCCUCUGCAUUGGCAGCAGGGGCCCUAUUAAGUUGUAUUUUAACAGAAUUUCAAAUGCAGCCUGCCCUCAGUGGUCCUCUCUCCUAAGAAGCAAACUCCAAGCCCGUGUGUCUAAGGGCAGGUUGAGUGGCGCCCCCAGACCCACUUUAACAGCAGCUUUGCUGGCUCAGAGACCCACUUCUGUCUUUGAGGUCUCCGCACCCUCAAGCUGGCUCCAUCUGAAAGAUCUCCAGCAUCUCCACUCUGUUGUGUGUUUUUAAUAUCUGCCAUGGUGGCCUCCUGCCAGCCUGGGCCACCUCCCUGGGCAGUCCAAGUGAGUUUCCCGGGCACAUGUUUUGAUUUUAUUAGUUUCUGGUUUCAAAAUGGUCUGUUUCCUAAGUGACCUCUUGGGGAUGCUAAUUUUCCCCAAAGCCCUUACACUUUAAGGGUGUGAUUUUUCAGAAUGUGAGGUGUUUCUGGGAUGCAUAUAUGGCACUAGGACAGGAACGCCUUAUGUGUGAAGAAUACCCAUUGCCUCUGUUUGAAAAGUGCUAUUGAAUAACCUGAUGCUGUGUUCCUUGGCUAAGAUUGUGGGAAAUCACGGGCAAGGACUCCCGAAUCCCCAAGAAAGUACAUCACAAGCUGUAUAGCCUUUAGCUCUCUGCAGCCCUACUCAGGGGAGGUGGAACUUGGAACCCCCCAGGAUUUAGCUCCAUAUGGGCUCCAGGACUCUCAACCACAGCUGUGCCUCAGUUACCCAGGGUCAGCUGGAGCUUCCAUAAGGCACGCACGCCUGAGCUCUACCCUCGAUCUAUUGAAAUAAGGACCUCCGGGGUGGGGCUUGUAUGUCUGUAUACAGUUAGCCUCUGUAUCCGUGGGUUUUAAAUUUGUGGAUUCAACCAAUCAUGGACCCAAGAGAUUUGGGGAAAAAUUGCAUCUUUACUGAAUGUGUACAGACUUUUAAAAUUGUUACUCUCAGCAAUAGAGUAUAACAACUAUUCACGUAGCAUUUACAUUGUAUUAGGUGUUAUAAGUAAUUGGAGAUGAUUUGAAGUGAACAGGAGGAUGUAUAUAAGUUAUUUGCAAAUACUAUGCCAUUUUAUAUCAGAGACAUGAGCAUCCUCAGAUUUUGGUAUCUGAGGGGGGUCCUGGAACCAAUCCCCUACAGAUACCAAGAGACAAGUCUAUUUAGAAGUUACAGGCUGGGCACAGUGGCUCACACCUGUAAUCCCAGCACUUUGGGAGGCCAAGGCAAGAGAAUCACUUGGGGCCAGGAGUUCGAGACCAUCCUGGGCAACAUGGCAAAACCCCAUCUCUACUAAAAAUAGAAAAAUUAGCCAGGUGUAGUGGCAUGUGCCUGUAGUCUCAGCUGCUCGUGAGCCUGAGGUGGGAGGAUCACCUGAGGUCCAGGCUGUAGUAAGCAGUAACCAGGCCACUGCACUCCAACCUGGGUGACAGAGACCCAGUCUUGGGGGGGAGAAAAAGUUUCCAUAUGAUUGUGUAGCUCAGCCAAGGCUCUCAACCUUGGAAGUAUAGAGAAUCACCUGGGAGCUUUUAGAGCUUCCAACGCCCACACUGCAGACCAAAUCACAUCAGAAUGUCUGAGGGCAAAACCCAGGCAGCUGAAUGUUCUAAAGCUCCCAGGUGAUUCCAUGCAUAGCUAGGGUUGAGGGCUUGGCUUUGGGGUCUUUUCUAAUCUGAGAAGGAUCCUAUACUCUGUGGACUGGGGCUAUUGGAACUUCAGUGUGUGUAUGAAUCUCCUACGAGUCUGGUUGAGAAUGCAGAUUCUGAUUCAGUAGGACUGGAACAGGGCUUCUGAGCCUGCAUUUCUAACCAGCUGGUCCGCGGACUACACCAAGAGUUGCACAACUGCAGGCACUAAUGACUCUUUAUUGAUUAUUUAACCCUGACUGAGGAUAAUAACUGUAGUAAGCCAGGACAUUAAACUGCAGGUCCAGGACAGUUAAUGGUAUUUGGCAGAAGUGGCACAGCAGGCUUUGUGAUUAAAAAGAAAACAAAUGUUUGUGUUCCUCCCUGGGUCAGCUAAGGAAUGGUACUGACAAGAGGCAUGCUGGCCACACUCUAAGAGAUGAGUGACUAGAAACCUCCGCCCUUCUGGCUGGGCGCGGUGGCUCAUGCCUGUAAUCCCAGCGCUUUGGGAGGCUGAGGUGGGCGGAUCACAAUGUCAGGAGGUCAAGACCGUCCUGGC
rnacentral:lncRNA from 1 species